CUACGGGCGGCACCAGUGGGGAAUAUUGGACAAUGGGGGAAACCCUGAUCCAGCAAUGCCGCGUGUGUGAAGAAGGCCUGCGGGUUGUAAAGCACUUUCGGUUGGGAGGACUGCUUCUAGCACUAAUAUUGUUGGAAGUUGACGUUACCUUCAGAAGAAGCACCGGCUAACUCCGUGCCAGCAGCCGCGGUAAUACGGAGGGUGCAAGCGUGAAUCGGAAUUACUGGGCGUAAAGCGCGCGUAGGCGGCUAGAUCAGUCGGGUGUGAAAGCCCCGGGCUUAACCUGGGAACUGCAUCCCGAUACUGUCUAGCUUGAGUACAGGAGAGGAGAGUGGAAUUCCACAUGUAGCGGUGAAAUGCCUAGAUAUGUGGAGGAACACCAAUGGCGAAGGCAGCUCUCUGGCCUGAUACUGACGCUGAGGUGCGAAAGCGUGGGGAGCAAACAGGAUUAGAUACCCGAGUAGUC
rnacentral:rRNA from 1 species